AAUUCAAUUAUAGGGAUAAUAUAAUUAUUUUUUAUUUAUAACUACCAACUAUUUCACCUUAUACUCACAUUUUCAUCCAAACAUAAUUUUUCUAGUUCCAGCUUAUACUCACAUUUUCAUCCAAACAAAAAAAUAUCCUUAUUUCUACGAAAAUCCAUACUUAUACCUAUCCCCAGUAUAACUAGUUCUUGCUUAUACCCGAACCAAACGAAGCCUUAGAAUAUAUAAUUCUUAUAGAAAUCAAUGUGAAAAUAUAAUUAAAUAACUUUUAAAUUUAAACUUUUAAAUUUAUG
rnacentral:lncRNA from 1 species